rnacentral:rRNA from 1 species
AAUAGAUACCCCGGUAGUCCACGCCCUAAACGAUGUCAACUAGUUGUCGGGUCUUAACGGACUUGGUAACGCAGCUAACGCGUGAAGUUGACCGCCUGGGGAGUACGGUCGCAAGAUUAAAACUCAAAGGAAUUGACGGGGACCCGCACAAGCGGUGGAUGAUGUGGAUUAAUUCGAUGCAACGCGAAAAACCUUACCUACCCUUGACAUGGUCGGAACCCUGAAGAGAUUCGGGGGUGCUCGAAAGAGAACCGAUACACAGGUGCUGCAUGGCUGUCGUCAGCUCGUGUCGUGAGAUGUUGGGUUAAGUCCCGCAACGAGCGCAACCCUUGGAUUGUGUUGCCAUCAUUCAGUUGGGCACUUACAAUCGACUGCCGGUGACAAACCGGAGGAAGGCGGGGAUGACGUCAAAUCAUCAUGCCCCUUAUGUCCUGGGCUACACACGUGCUACAAUGGGCGGUACAAAGGGUUGCGAAGCCGCGAGGUGGAGCCAAUCCCAGAAAGCCGUUCGUAGUUCGGAUUGCAGGCUGCAACUCG